GAGCGGCGGACGGGUGAGUAAUGCAUGGGGAUCUGCCCAGUAGCGGGGGACAACCCGGAGAAAUCCCGGCUAAUACCGCAUACGCCUACGGGGGAAAGCGGAGGACCGAAAGGCUUCGCACUAUUGGAGGAACCCAUGCCCGAUUAGCUAGUUGGUGAGGUAACGGCUCACCAAGGCUAAGACGGGUAGCUGGUCUGAGAGGAUGAUCAGCCACACUGGAACUGAGACACGGUCCAGACUCCUACGGGAGGCAGCAGUGGGGAAUCUUGCGCAAUGGGCGAAAGCCUGACGCAGCGACGCCGCGUGGGUGAUGAAGGCCUUCGGGUUGUAAAGCCCUGUGGGGAGAGACGAAUAAGUCGGAACUAACAAUUCCGAUGAUGACGGUAUCUCCUUAGCAAGCACCGGCUAACUCUGUGCCAGCAGCCGCGGUAAGACAGAGGGUGCAAACGUUGUUCGGAAUUACUGGGCGUAAAGCGUGUGUAGGCGGUUACGAAAGUCGGAUGUGAAAUCCCCGGGCUCAACCCGGGAAGUGCACCCGAAACUAUGUGACUUGAGUACCGGAGAGGUUGGUGGAAUUCUCGGUGUAGAGGUGAAAUUCGUAGAUAUCGAGAGGAACACCGGUGGCGAAGGCGGCCAACUGGACGAGUAC
rnacentral:rRNA from 1 species